GACGAACGCUGGCGGCGUGCUUAACACAUGCAAGUCGAACGAAGUGGCGAACGGGUGAGUAACGCGGAAUCAACCUGCCCUUCAGAGGGGGACAACAGUUGGAAACGACUGCUAAUACCGCAUACUGAAGAAGGGGCUGCCGUCGGAUUAGCUAGUUGGAGGGGUAACGGCCCACCAAGGCGAAGAUCAGUAGGCGGUCUGGGAGGAUGAACGGCCAAAUUGGGACUGAGACACGGCCCAGACUUCUACGGGAGGCAGCAGGGGGGAAUCUUCCGCAAUGGACGAAAGUCUGACGGAGCAACGCCGCGUGAGUGAUGACGGCCUUCGGGUUGUAAAGCUCUGUUAAUCGGGACGCGGUACCGGAAUAGAAAGCCACGGCUAACUACGUGCCAGCAGCCGCGGUAAUUC
rnacentral:rRNA from 1 species